AACGAACGCUGGCGGCAGGCCUAACACAUGCAAGUCGAGCGGACCCUUCGGGGUUAGUGGCGGACGGGUGAGUAACGCGUGGGAAUAUGCCCUUCUCUACGGAAUAGUCCUGGGAAACUGGGGGUAAUACCGUAUACGCCCUUUGGGGGAAAGAUUUAUCGGGGAAGGAUUAGCCCGCGUUGGAUUAGGUAGUUGGUGGGGUAAUGGCCUACCAAGCCGACGAUCCAUAGCUGGUUUGAGAGGAUGAUCAGCCACACUGGGACUGAGACACGGCCCAGACUCCUACGGGAGGCAGCAGUGGGGAAUCUUAGACAAUGGGGGCAACCCUGAUCUAGCCAUGCCGCGUGAGUGAUGAAGGCCUUAGGGUUGUAAAGCUCUUUCAGCUGGGAAGAUAAUGACGGUACCAGCAGAAGAAGCCCCGGCUAACUCCGUG
rnacentral:rRNA from 1 species